AGCAUAUCAAUAAGCGGAGGAAAAGAAACUAACAAGGAUUCCCCUAGUAACGGCGAGUGAAGAGGGAAGAGCCCAAGAUUGAAAGCUGGCGUCUUCGGCGUCCGCAUUGUAAUCUCAAGAAGUGUUUUCCGCUUCGGACCAUGCCUAAGUCCCUUGGAAAAGGGCAUCAUAGAGGGUGAUAAUCCCGUACAUGGCAUGGAGCGCCCGAGGCUUUGUGAUACGCUUUCUAAGAGUCGAGUUGUUUGGGAAUGCAGCUCAAAAUGGGUGGUAAAUGCCAUCUAAGGCUAAAUAUUGGGGAGAGACCGAUAGCGAACAAGUACAGUGAUGGAAAGAUGAAAAGAACUUUGAAAAGAGAGUUAAACAGUACGUGAAAUUGCCAAAAGGGAAGGGUAGGAGGUCAGAGAUGCGUCUUGGGAUUCAGCCUUGCUUUUGCUUGGUGUUUUUCCCAAGUUGCAGGCCAACGUCGGUUUUGGGCACUGGAGAAGGGUGGAAGGAACGUGGCACCUCUCGGGGUGUGUUAUAGCCUUCUACUGGAUACAGCGACCGAGACCGAGGACAGCAGCGUACUCGCAAGAGCGGGCCUUCGGGCACCUUUACGCUUAGGGCGUUGGCAUAAUGGCCCUCUACCACCCGUCUUGAAACACGGACCAAGGAGUCUAACAUGUAUGCGAGUCUUUGGGUGGCAAACCCAUAGGCGCAAUGAAAGUGAAUUCAGGUGGGAUCCGCAAGGUGCACCAUCGACCGAUCCUCACGUCUUUUAAGUCGUGGAUUUGAGUAAGAGCAUACCUGUUGGGACCCGAAAGAUGGUGAACUAUGCCUGAAUAGGGUGAAGCCAGAGGAAACUCUGGUGGAGGCUCGUAGCGGUUCUGACGUGCAAAUCGAUCGUCAAAUUUGGGUAUAGGGGCGAAAGACUAAUCGAACCAUCUAGUAGCUGGGUCUGC
rnacentral:rRNA from 1 species